ensembl:lncRNA
GGGUGAAGCAUACUCUAGGGAAAGACCUGGCAGGAGAACUUGCUGAGUUCCAAGUGCUGCUUCUGUGUGUGCAUCCCUCUGCCUUUGCUCCAGCUCAGCCUGCUCUGAUGUGGAGGAUAUGAGUGGCUGCUUCUGAGUUCAUCCAAAUACAGAGGAUGAUUCAACAUGCUGAAACAGUUUCUAGCUAUAUUCUACGAAUGGAACUGCACACCAUACUGGAUGCCCUCUAUACAGAGACAAGAAGUUCAGAUCUUUAUCUCAACUAAAAUGUAUGUAACUUGUCUGUUAUUCUGUGUAAGAGUAGCAGAUGUCCAUGUCCUUGGGGGAAAGCAGUGCUUACUUCCCAACUCCUAAGACAACCUUACUUUUGGAGAAGGGGCAAUGAGUAAGAAAGGACUACAGGUGCUGCUACCAAACCCUCUGCUCUGCUUAUGCUAAUUUCCACACAAGCAGUCAGACUGAUGUUGAGCUCUUUUAACACAUCUCUGUUCCUUACAGUCUUCUCCCUUCCACUUCUGUAUUUGGGAGCCUGAUUAAAGCUCUUCACCAGAUAGCACCGCUUAGUUCUGAGUGUGUCUACAACUUCCAUGGCUCUCUGAUGCACCACACGUUUACAAAGAUCUUCAGCUGUUAAAAAGCUCUUGUGACUUACCAUAAAGAGCAGCCCCAGACAAUACAACAGAUGCAUGAAGUAUUAAUGUUUCACAGUAAUCAAUAGAUUUGUAAACACAGUUGACCUUUUGUUUUGAUGUAAGAUGAGAGUUAUAAGCUUGUGCAAAACACCAGUUAGGCUUUUGAGAGAGUCUCAGACCAGAGCUUUUCCCAGUAGCUGCUCUUAAAUCACCUUUCCUCCCUUCUGUGCAGGCUCUGUGAGCAGCUGCCAGCAAUCCAGCUCCUUGCUUAGAAGCACAAACCUUUUCAGCACUCUUCUUGCAGUGUGAAACAUACACUUGGACUGUUCUUGUGCUGAGAGAAGUAUUUAGCAGCUUUUCAGGUGCAUUAGGUAGAUGCCUACUGUUUCAGCUGUAUUAGAAUAGGCAUUGCUGUGCUUGCUGGCCAUUGAUGAAUACCAUAUGAGCUUGUGAUUGGAUGAAUCACUGUUGUCAGUCAAUGUGCACUCUGAAGGAAGCAGGAUCACACUGGUCAUAAGUUUUCAGGAAGAGAAACUCCUCAACAGUUGCAUGGAUUUCCUUUUGUGAUGUACAUGCAUUUGGGGAUCGCUGAGAAGCAGUCAUAAGUGAAGUGUCUGGGUGCACUACAGGUUGCUUCUGAUUCCCUGACUGAUGAAAGAAUAAUAGUUUUGUUUAUCUGCUACACUGUCUUAGUUGGCUGGCAAUUUCUAUUCUCCUUUUCUCUCUAGAUUGUUUUCUUCUUUUUCUCCUGCAGGACAGAUUGGAAUGAAAGAUCUAAUUUUCUCCUACUUUGUUUCCCAUGCAGCCACUUACGGGUAUGUGUAUGGUGUCACCUUACCCAAAUGGCAAUGUUUUACAGAGGUGUAAAUUGGAAGGUACAAGCAAUAUAAAGAGCAAGACAGGACAUAAUCAAAUCCCAGAGUGAGAGAGAAACUAUGUUUUAAGUCUUAUACCAUCUGGACAUGACUUUUUGUGAAUUUAAAAUAUCUGUAGGUGCUGAGGCAUCUGAAAGUUCAGCAGCAUAUGCCAUUUUUAUGUGAGGAGCAGCUGAGUCCCAGAUCACAUUUACUAGCUGCUAAAGGGAGAACUCUGUAAGAGUUUGGAGUAUCUGCUUCCUACUUUUCAGAUGAAGCAACCUUUAUAACUUUAUUUUUCUGUCCUUGCAUAAAGUCAUGGCUGCUUUGGUGUUGGGUUCCAUGUGAUGACAAAGAAGAAUGCAGUUGUGUGAAGAUAUUGCCUGCUCCCCCUUUGUUGGGAGGAGCUGCAAAACCAGCUGUCAGCAGUCCUCUCAGGCUGGAAAAGGCUGAGCACAAAGCUUGAAGUCAUAGAAAAGCAGGAUGCAGAAAGAAGACCCUGAGGAGAGCUUGUAAUGGCACUGUCCUAUGAAGUAGCCAGUGAAUCAUCACACACUGCCUUAUCAAGCCCCAUUUAUUUGAGCUUAUUUAUUACAAAAAUCUCAUGUUGUGUCUCAUCUAUUUUACAGCUCUGCAACACCAGCUACUUGAAAAUUUGUUAGUGCAACUCUGAGCUCCAAAUACCUCCUUUGGAUAUUUUUUGCCCCAGUCCUAUUUCUGUGUGCUUUGGUGGAAGGGUAGUAUAAUGCCACUUAGUAUAAAAUGUGCCUGCACUGGUAAGAACAUAAUAAAGUUUUUGUUGUGCUGCUGUGUAGCUGAGCC